rnacentral:lncRNA from 1 species
UGUUUAAUUAUUUACUUUUACAAGCAACAUGUAUUAAUAGUACACACACUGUUUUAUUAUAAAACAAUUGUUGUAGUAGUGAUAAUAUCACUCUUUAUGUCAUUUAUAUCCAGUGACUUACAAUAAACAUGCACAUGUCCCACACAGUACUUAAAACCACAACUUGUGUUCCAAGCCACUAGAGGGCGCCAACGGCUAACUAACAAACCCCCAUCCAUCCUUUCAUCCACCCACAUCCAGAAGAAAGAUUUGAUCGAUAACAUGAUUCCCAUCAUCAUCAAUCUGAAGAGCAUGCUGAAACAGAAGCGCUGGCCAGUCCUGAAGGACAUCAUGGGCUCCCUCCAGGUUCAAAGACUGGGGAAGAUGUCACCUGAUCAGCAGCAAGUAAAAAUUGUAAAGCGUUAAACCAUUUUAAAUGGUUUCAAAUCAAAUCCAGCAAAAGUUGUUUAUUUUUCUCUUUUUCAUGUUCUCUUCUGUCCGAACUGAACACACUCAAUGUCCUAUCUAAUAUUUUCUGUUUUUAUUUUUGUAAAUUAAAAUCCACUGCACAUGUCAGAAUAUUAGAAGUGAGUUUUAUUAUUCAUAGACAUACGGUUUAAGAAUUCUCAGAGGAUUUGUACCUGGCCUGAGAUGGGUGUUACAUGAGUUUGGUUCAGAAAAUGUCAUCAAUAAAUUAAACAUGUGAACACUUGAAAAGCUUGAACCUUGACAUGACUUCAAUGCCAACCUCCAGCAUUGGAGAAAUUAGAGGAAGAUUUUCAACACACUGAUUUUCAUGAUCUUUGGAUUGGAGGAAACGUGAUUGGCAGUUAGUAUUUGGCUUAGCUAGCCCCAACCACAGAACAUGUAUUGGAAUACAUCUUUCACUGUGUAUUUACAACUAAAUUGUAGUUUUUAAAGAAAGGGCUUGUAAAUAACAUCUAUUUUCAAUGCCUUGGAAGUUGCAGGUGUUUUCUGGCUUUAUGGUAAAUGUAGGCCACAUGCUUUUGUGUUUCUCCAUCCAUUUAGUCUGUUAAACUUUGUAUAUGUUCUGUUUGUGUACUAGUGCUGUGUCUUUACUCUUUACCAAAAAUAAUUCCCACUAUAUUUAGGCACUAAUACAUCUCUAUUUCUACUCCAAUGGAAAUGAGUUUAAUCCUUCAAAGAAUGUAAAACGAGAAUCUAUUUACAAAGCAAAGCAGAUAUGUACAAAUUAUUUGGGUGGGAAAAUGUUACACUAUGCCUUAAGAAUAGGUGGCAAUGUCAUCAUUCCUCUCAAACGCUGUUUGUAGAGUUAAAAAUGCUAUUUAAGUUUUUGUUUAAAAAAAAGUGUU